GUGGAAGGUGAAGCAGGUCUACCUAUCUCAAAAGUGAUGCACAUAUCUGCUUGGUCCUCCAAUUCUUCAUUAGUCUCCUCAGAUGCAAGAGUGGGGACAUAGGAGGGUGGGAAAGUAGGUGGCACAAUACUAAGCUCAUGACUCUGCUCCCCAUCUCCUAUGUGGAUGGCACCAACAUCAUCUGGAAGCUGAACAACCUGAAAUUGUGAUUCCUCUAAAACAUAAGACUGUUCCUCAAUGAGCUGAGUGGCCGUCUCCCCCAUCUGGUUGCUCAAACUCUGAAUUGACACUCUGGUCUCCUGUUGAAACUCCAUGUUCAGUUGUUGGAACUGAAUGUUCUGAAUAGUCAUCUACUCCAAUAACUCCUUGAAUGUAAGCUCAGAAGCAGAAGGUUGAGGAGCUAUUUGGGUAGGAGCAUCAUACCGCUGACUCUGGUAUUGUUGAACUAGUGGAGGCAUAGAAGUAUUCUGAGAUGGUUGAUAUUGCUGUGGAGUGUCACACCAUCCCAAGCUAGGGUCAUUCCAAUCAGGAUCGUUGUUGUAACCAUACUGAGUAGGGAAGAAUUCGUCCAAGAACAUGUGCUUAAGAUCUUCCCAAGAAGUGAUGGAUCCCGG
rnacentral:lncRNA from 1 species